rnacentral:rRNA from 1 species
GACGAACGCUGGCGGCGUGCCUAAUACAUGCAAGUAGAACGCAGUUGCGAACGGGUGAGUAACGCGUAGGUAACUGCCCCAUAGCGGGGGAUAACUAUUGGUAAAGAUAGCUAAUACCGUAUACUGUGAGAUGGACCCGAGUUGCAUUAGCUAGUGGGUGAGGUAAAGGCUCACCAAGGCGACGAUACAUAGACGACCUGAUAGGGGUAUCGGCCACACUGGGACCGAAACACGGCUCAGACUACUACGGGAGUCAGCAGUAGGGAUUCAUCGGCAAUGGACCGAAAUCUGACCGAGCAACGCCACGAUAAUGGAGAAGGUUUUCGGAUCGUAAAGCUCUGUUGUUAGAGAAGCGGUAACUACCCAGAAAGGGACGGCUAACUACGUGACAGCAGCCGCGGUAAUAC